AAUGGUGGGCGGGAGUACUCUCCAAGAGCUGACGUGGCACGGAAGAUUGGAAUCAUGAAACGCGGCAUCUCUCUCACAUGUCCAAUUACCUAUCACUUUUUAAUCAACCAUGGGUUGAGCUAUCACCAUUCGCCUCCAUCAGUCCAUUACUGUCCAACUAACAAAAAAGAUGAAGCAGAAACAAGCGGUUGUCGUAGCCGCCAAGCUGAGACCAUGGCUCCGUAGUCUUUUAUAGACUGUUCGAUCGCUGCAGCUAAGAUCAGCAAAAAUCACUAGACCAGUUCCUCUGUUCCUGCACGAGCUCAAUCAAGCUCGAGGCCAAUGGAGACCCCAGCUCGUCCUCCUCCGCAGCAGAUGCACUUCCUGUUCGUGACCAGCCCGCUGCAGGGCCACAUCAACCCGGUGCGCCGCCUGGCCGCCCGAGUGAUGGCGGCCAAUCCGGACGCGCUCGUCACCUUCUCCACCGCCGUCUCCGGGCACUGCCGCAUGUUCCCCUCCCUGGCGCGCCCCGACGACGAGGCCGUGGACGCCGCGGGCGUGCUGCACGUCCCCUUCUCCGACGGGUUCGACGACGGGUUCAGCUCCGCGGCGCACGGCGCGGGCACCUACAGGGCCCGCGCCAGCUCGGCCGGGCGCGCGACGCUGUCCGCCGCCGUGUCGCGCCUCGCCGCGCGGGGGCGCCCCGUGACGCGCGUGGUGUACACGUUCCUCGUGCCGUGGGUGCCCGACGUCGCGCGCGCGCACGGCGUCCCCGCGGCGCUCUUCUGGAUCCAGCCGGCCGCCGUGCUCGCCGUGUACUACCAUUACUUCCACGGCCACGCCGCGGCCCUCGCCGCGUGCGCGAACGGCGCGGCGGACCCCGGCGCCGCGGCCGCGUGCCUGCCGGGCCUGCCGCCGCUCGAGGCCGGCGCGCUCCCGUCGGCCGUGUCCAUCACCUCGCCGGAGCACAGGCACUACCUGCUGCUCGACCUGCUGCGCGAUCUCUUCCUGUCCCUCGACGAGCACAAGCCCAGGGUGCUCGUCAACACGUUCGACGCCCUGGAGCCCGACGCUCUCCGGGCGGUGCCGCAGCUCGAGGUCGCCGCCGUCGGGCCCGUGGUGCCGGACGACGCGUCCUCCCCGUCAAGCGCGGACCUGGUGCAUCCCCAGGACGCGAAGGUCCCGUACACGGAGUGGCUGGACACGAAGCCAGCGCGGUCUGUGGUGUACGUGUCGUUCGGGAGCGUCCUCUCGAUAAGCAGGCGGCAGGAGGAGGAGAUGCGGCGGGGCCUGGAGGCCACCAGCCGGCCGUACCUGUGGGUGGCGCGCACGGCCGCCGACGGCGGCGCGAGCCCGGACCCGGACAGCAGCAGCGCGCAGGGGCUGGUGGUGGCGUGGUGCGACCAGGUGCGCGUGCUGUCGCACCCGGCGGUGGGCUGCUUCGUGACGCACUGCGGCUGGAACUCGGCGCUGGAGAGCGUGACCCGCGGCGUGCCGAUGGUGGCGGCACCGCAGUGGACGGACCAGCCCACCGUGGCGUGGCUGGUGGAGGCGCGCGCGGGCGCCGGCGUGCGCGCCAGCGUGGACGGCGAGGGCGUGGUCGAGCACGGCGAGCUGCGGCGGUGCGUGGAGGCGGUCAUGGGCGGCGGCGGCGGCGAGGCCGUCCGGGCGCGGUGCGAUCGGUGGAGGGAGCUGGCGCGCGAGGCCGUGGCCCCCGGCGGGACGUCGGAGAGGAAUCUGCGAGCGUUCGCGUCGGCUGGGGCUGUGGACGGCGCCUGAUCGACGAGGUGAGCCCGCCGGCGACGUCGCGCCUCGAGAUGGUGUGACAAUUGCGCAUCUGACGUGCGAUGACACUUGCACUGUUGACAACAGCCGACCGAGAUCAGGCUUUCGAGUUCGCGAGCUGCGAGCGAGUUCAGUGGAAAAUCCAGGCCAGAUGCAUGUCAGAGAUUCUUCAACUCCGGAACGUUCAUGUGGGCAUGUGCGGAUUGCCUUGCUCCAUCGGC